GCCGAGCCUAGUCACGUGGGCUUGUAAUCCGAGUGGAGGCAAUAAGGGUGAUUGGACGUUGAACCGGGCCGGUUGGCUGGACCUUUGAUUGCGUAAUCUGGACCGCCCAUUCCAAGUGGUGAGCUGGGUCGUGAGUUUCAAUCGAAGGGUUGAGAUUCGCGGCCUUUAGAGUGGAGGGCACCGUGUCAGGCUGGCCUCACAGAGCAGCGAUUACCUCCCGCUCUCUGCAGUGGAAGGAUUACGGUUCGGUGCAAUUUGGGCCCGAUAAAGUCAAUUGGGCUGGUUUAAUUGGACUUUCACCUUU
rnacentral:SRP_RNA from 1 species